AGAGUUUGAUCCUGGCUCAGGAUGAACGCUGGCGGCGUGCCUAACACAUGCAAGUCGAGCGGGAAAUUUUAAAAUGAAGCUUCGGUAGAUUUUUAAGAUGGAGAGCGGCGGACGGGUGAGUAACGCGUAGGCAACCUGCCCUUUGCAGAGGGAUAGCCAUUGGAAACGAUGAUUAAAACCUCAUAAUACUAAAUAGUCACAUGGCUGUUUGGUCAAAGAUUUAUCGGCAAAGGAUGGGCCUGCGUCUGAUUAGCUAGUUGGUGGGGUAACGGCCUACCAAGGCGACGAUCAGUAGCCGACCUGAGAGGGUGAUCGGCCACAUUGGAACUGAGACACGGUCCAAACUCCUACGGGAGGCAGCAGUGGGGAAUAUUGCACAAUGGGCGAAAGCCUGAUGCAGCAACGCCGCGUGAAGGAAGAAGGUCUUCGGAUCGUAAACUUCUGUCCUUGGGGAAGAUAAUGACGGUACCCUUGGAGGAAGCCCCGACUAACUACGUGCCAGCAGCCGCGGUAAUACGUAGGGGGCAAGCGUUAUCCGGAAUUAUUGGGCGUAAAGAGUGCGUAGGUGGUUACUUAAGCGCGGGGUUUAAGGCAAUGGCUCAACCAUUGUUCGCCCUGCGAACUGGGUUACUUGAGUGCAGGAGAGGAAAGCGGAAUUCCUAGUGUAGCGGUGAAAUGCGUAGAUAUUAGGAGGAACACCAGUGGCGAAGGCGGCUUUCUGGACUGUUACUGACACUGAGGCACGAAAGUGUGGGGAGCAAACAGGAUUAGAUACCCUGGUAGUCCACACCGUAAACGAUGAGCACUAGGUGUCGGGGUCGCAAGACUUCGGUGCCGCAGUUAACGCAUUAAGUGCUCCGCCUGGGGAGUACGUACGCAAGUAUGAAACUCAAAGGAAUUGACGGGGACCCGCACAAGCAGCGGAGCAUGUGGUUUAAUUCGAAGCAACGCGAAGAACCUUACCAGGACUUGACAUCCUCCUGACCGCUCUUUAAUAGGAGCUUUCCUUCGGGACAGGAGAGACAGGUGGUGCAUGGUUGUCGUCAGCUCGUGUCGUGAGAUGUUGGGUUAAGUCCCGCAACGAGCGCAACCCUUGUCAUUAGUUGCCAUCAUUAAGUUGGGCACUCUAGUGAGACUGCCGGGAAUAACUCGGAGGAAGGUGGGGAUGACGUCAAAUCAUCAUGCCCCUUAUGUUCUGGGCUACACACGUGCUACAAUGGUCGGUACAAAGAGACGCGAAGUCGCGAGGCGGAGCAAAUCUCAAAAGCCGAUCCCAGUUCGGACUGUGGUCUGCAACCCGACCACACGAAGCUGGAAUCGCUAGUAAUCGCGAAUCAGAAUGUCGCGGUGAAUACGUUCCCGCGGUCUUGCACACACCGCCCGUCA
rnacentral:rRNA from 1 species